UACGGGGGGGGCAAGCGUUGUUCGGAAUUACUGGGCGUAAAGGGCCCGUAGGUGGCCAACUAAGUCAGACGUGAAAUCCCUCAGCUUAACUGGGGAACUGCGUCUGAUACUGGAUGGCUUGAGUUUGGGAGAGGGAUGCGGAAUUCCAGGUGUAGCGGUGAAAUGCGUAGAUAUCUGGAGGAACACCGGUGGCGAAGGCGGCAUCCUGGACCAACACUGACACUGAGGAGCGAAAGCCAGGGGAGCAAACGGG
rnacentral:rRNA from 1 species